CCAGAGAACUUUCCAGAGAUGGAUUGGUGCCUUCGGGAACUCUGAGACAGGUGCUGCAUGGCUGUCGUCAGCUCGUGUUGUGAAAUGUUGGGUUAAGUCCCGCAACGAGCGCAACCCUUUAUCCUUUGUUGCCAGCGGUCCGGCCGGGAACUCAAAGGAGACUGCCAGUGAUAAACUGGAGGAAGGUGGGGAUGACGUCAAGUCAUCAUGGCCCUUACGAGUAGGGCUACACACGUGCUACAAUGGCGCAUACAAAGAGAAGCGACCUCGCGAGAGCAAGCGGACCUCAUAAAGUGCGUCGUAGUCCGGAUUGGAGUCUGCAACUCGACUCCAUGAAGUCGGAAUCGCUAGUAAUCGUGGAUCAGAAUGCCACGGUGAAUACGUUCCCGGGCCUUGUACACACCGCCCGUCACACCAUGGGAGUGGGUUGCAAAAGAAGUAGGUAGCUUAACCUUCGGGAGGGCGCUUACCACUUUGUGAUUCAUGACUGGGGUGAAGUCGUAACAAGGUAGGCGUAGAUGA
rnacentral:rRNA from 1 species